GUGAAGUUGAACCUGGGGAGAAAAGAGGGGUUGUCAAAUUUGUCGGUCGAGCUGAAUCUCUUGCACGUGGCUUUUGGGUUGGAAUUCAAUGUGAUGAGCCAUUGGGGAAACAUGAUGGCAUUGUGCAAGGAGUGCGCUACUUUGAUUGUCCUCCACUCCAUGGUGCCAUGGUUAGGCCUGACAAAGUAAAGGUUUGUAGAACUGUUCUCAUACUGCUUGAGUGUCGGCACUUAUGAGUUAAUAAUGAACAAAAAUUUUAGACCACUUUACUAUCUGCUAUAGUGAUUCAUAUGGAAUAAUAUUUUAUGGAUUUCAAAAUCC